rnacentral:misc_RNA from 1 species
GUAGGUGAACCUGCGGAAGGAUCAUUAAAGAAAAUUAUAUGUCGGAUUAUUUUGAAAUUGUUUGUGAAUUUAUUUUUACUGCUUUUUUAAAAAUAAUCCUUCAUUAAAUAUUCAUUUAACACCGACGAGUAUUUAAUUAUACAAGUCGUUUAUUAUAGGGAUUGAUAUUUUUUUUUCGGAGUUUUUUUUAGUUGGCAAAAAUUUAUUUUUGUUAACGUCGGAUUCCCUUCAUGUUCGGAUAUUUAUUUAUUUAAAUUUCUUGAUAUGAAAAAACCAUAAAAAACGACAUUUUAGAAUCAGAGUUAUAUGUACGUGAUUGUUUGUUUUCCAUUUGGAAAAAAAAAUGUAUAACAACUUUCAGCAAUGGAUCUCUUGGCUCUC